rnacentral:lncRNA from 1 species
AUAAAGCAAAGAAGAAAGACCAGACAGAUAAAUAAAUAAACAACUGAGAAAUUUCUGGAGCAAUUACAUGAACAGGACCACAAUACAAAGAAAAUAAACAGGUUUAAUUAAUUAAUAGACUGAAGCAAGUAUGAAACAAAACAACAGAACAGAACAAGAUAAAGAGAAGAAACCAAUGUGAAGAAGACCAAAGAGGGUACCGCAAUGAACUGAAAGUUGAACCUCCGCUUUGGCUUCAAGAGAGGGGAGAAUUAUUUCCAAGGAACAGUAAAGUAGACACAGGACUUACGUUAACAAAGGAAUAGCAUGUUGAAUGGGACAAAAGCAGGAGCAGCCGCUAGGUCGUGCUUGUGGUGUGUUGAAAUGAAAACAUUAUAUUACAUUUGACUUUUGAAGGUCACCACCAAGACAGGCUGUCUUAAUGAACGAGGAUUUGGCCACAUCUGACCAAAGGGUGUGAGGUAUGAACACAAAGCCUAGAUU